rnacentral:rRNA from 1 species
UAGGGUGGCUAUAGCAUUGGGGCUCACCUCUUCCCAUCCCGAACAGAGAAGUUAAGCCCAAUUGCGCCGA